rnacentral:rRNA from 1 species
GACAGAGGGUGCAAACGUUGUUCGGAAUUACUGGGCGUAAAGCGUGUGUAGGCGGCCACGUAAGUCGGAUGUGAAAGCCCCGGGCUCAACCCGGGAAGUGCACUCGAUACUGCGUGGCUUGAGUACUGGAGAGGUUGGUGGAAUUCUCGGUGUAGAGGUGAAAUUCGUAGAUAUCGAGAGGAACACCGGUGGCGAAGGCGGCCCACUGGUCCGGUACUGACGCUGAGGUGCGAAAGCGUGGGGAGCAAACAGG